rnacentral:rRNA from 1 species
GACAGAGGGUGCAAACGUUGUUCGGAAUUACUGGGCGUAAAGCGCGUGUAGGCGGCCCUGCAAGUCGGGUGUGAAAUCCCACGGCUCAACCGUGGAAGUGCAUUCGAAACUGCAGGGCUAGAGUCCUGGAGAGGAAGGUGGAAUGCUUGGUGUAGAGGUGAAAUUCGUAGAUAUCGGGAGGAACACCAGUGGCGAAGGCGGCGACCUGGACGGACAUUGACGCUGAGACGCGAAAGCGUGGGGAGCAAACAGG